GACAGAGGGGGCAAGCGUUGCUCGGAAUUACUGGGCGUAAAGGGCGCGUAGGCGGGAUGGCAAGUCGGUCGUGAAAUCCCUCGGCUCAACUGAGGAUCGUCGAUCGAUACUGCCGUUCUUGGGGAUUGCAGAGGAGACUGGAAUUCCCGGUGUAGCGGUGAAAUGUGUAGAGAUCGGGAGGAACACCGGUGGCGAAGGCGGGUCUCUGGGCAAUUCCUGACGCUGAGGCGCGAAAGCGUGGGGAGCAAACGGG
rnacentral:rRNA from 1 species